AAGAUGACUCAAAAAAGUUUAGAUGCAUGGUAAGGGCGAGAACUUAUUGCGCCGACGGAGUUGGAUUGUUUGGCUGCGCUGGAAGCGUAGAUAAUCUGCUCGGAGUUCGGUUGGGAAAGAAUAAGUGGCAGCCACCUCGGCGAGACCGACUCCGGUGUGAUGUGGAUGCUCUUUUCGACCCUCACAUUAAUAACCGCUUUUGGCAUUGGUGUGGUGCUGCGGGAUUAUAAAAGUGAAGUGAAGCUUGCGGCUGCCAAAGUGUCAAAGCCAAGAUCGAAUGCUCUUGCAUGUGGCGGACCUCAUGGCCGUGGUGGCAGGUUUCACUUUGAUAUAGCCAAUUGAGAUUUAUAUUGAUUCCAUGUUAGCGGCGCGUGUUAUGGCUUGUCAGGAAGAGGAAAGUGGUUUACUGCCGGACGAUAUACUUGAGGUUACUAGUGUGGCUCGCUCGUGUAUGCUCAUUAGUGUGAAUCAUAUGUAUAGAGAGACGAAUAGAGUUGCUCAUUGUUUGACACAAUUUGCCCGUUCUUGUCGGGACCAUAUAUAUAUGUUGGACCGAUAAUUUCCCUAGCUGGCUUAGAGAAGUCUCUUUGGAGGAUACUCCCUAAUAAAGUUGCUCUGUUUCCGUUU
rnacentral:lncRNA from 1 species